rfam:Burkholderia sp. OLGA172 chromosome 1, complete sequence.
GUCUUCGAGGAGCGUUGCGACGGGUACCGCGAAUCAGCAUAUUCGCCGGCCGCCCGCCAGGCUCGGAGGCUUCAAUCGGAGGGCUCGGACGCGCAUAGCGCUUUCCCAGCCACCGCAUCGAACCGCGCUCACGUCAA